rnacentral:rRNA from 1 species
UAUUUAGCAAUGGACGAAAGUCUGACUAUGUGACGCCGCGUGAGGGAUGAAGGUCUUCGGAUUGUAAACCUCUUUCGAUAGGGAAGAAAACCUGCUCUUAACGGAGCAGACUGACGGUACCUAGAGAAGAAGCCACGGCCAACUCUGUGCCAGCAGCCGCGGUAAUACAGAGGUGGCGAGCGUUACCCCGGAUUUAUUGGGUGUAAAGGGCAAGUAGGCGUCUUGACAAGUUAGGAGUGAAAUCCUGCAGCUCAACUGCAGAACUGCUUUUAAAACUGUCGAGAUUGAGACUGGGAGAGGAAAGCGGAAUUCUCGGUGUAAGAGUGAAAUCUGUAGAUAUCGAGAGGAACACCAGUGGCGAAGGCGGCUUUCUGGUCCAGUACUGACGCUAAUGCGAAG